rnacentral:rRNA from 1 species
GUGAGGAAUAUUGGUCAAUGGGCGAGAGCCUGAACCAGCCAAGUCGCGUGAAGGAAGAAGGAUCUAUGGUUCGUAAACUUCUUUUGCAGGGGAAUAAAGUGCGGGACGUGUCCUGUUUUGUAUGUACCUGAGAAUAAGGAUCGGCUAACUCCGUGCCAGCAGCCGCGGUAAUACGGAGGAUCCGAGCGUUAUCCGGAUUUAUUGGGUUUAAAGGGUGCGUAGGUGGUUUGAUAAGUCAGCGGUGAAAGUUUGCAGCUUAACUGUAAAAAGGCCGUUGAAACUGUCGGACUUGAGUGUAAAUGAGGUAGGCGGAAUGCGUGGUAUAGCGGUGAAAUGCAUAGAUAUCACGCAGAACUCCGAUUGCGAAGGCAGCUUACUAAGCUACAACUGACACUGAAGCACGAAAGCGUGGGGAUCAAACAGGAUUAGAAACCCGUGUAGUCC